rnacentral:rRNA from 1 species
ACCUCUAGCAUAACCAGUAUUAGAGGCCCUGCCUGCCCAGUGACACACGCUUAAACGGCCGCGGUAUCCUGACCGUGCAAAGGUAGCAUAAUCACUUGUUCCUUAAAUAGGGACUAGUAUGAACGGCUUGACGAGGGUUAAACUGUCUCUUGCUUUUUAUCAGUGAAAUUGACCUCCCCGUGAAGAGGCGGGGAUAUAAAAAUUAGACGAGAAGACCCUAUGGAGCUUAAAUUUACUAGUCUAAGCAAACAACUACUACAUCCAAUAGGCCUAAACACUUUGCCUAUAGACUAAAAAUUUUGGUUGGGGUGACCUCGGAGUAUAAAUAACCCUCCGAACAGUAUUAAUCAAGACACACCCGUCUAAAUCAUAACCUAAUUGACCCAAAUAUAUUUGAUCAAUGGAACAAGUUACCCUAGGGAUAACAGCGCAAUCCUACUCAAGAGUCCCUAUCGACAGUAGGGUUUACGACCUCGAUGUUGGAUCAGGACAUCCAAAUGGUGCAGCCGCUAUUAUUGGUUCGUUUGUUCAACGAUUAAAGUC